AACUUUUAACAAUGGAUCUCUAGGCUCUCAUAUCGAUGAAGAACACAGUGAAAUGUGAUAAGUAAUGUGAAUUGCAGAAUUCAGUGAAUCAUUGAAUCUUUGAACGCAACCUUGCACCUUUUGGUAUUCCAAAAGGUACACCUGUUUGAGUGUCAUGAAAAUCUCUCAUCAAAUUUAUUUUUGGUGGAUGUUGA
rnacentral:rRNA from 1 species